CGUGUGAAGUCUUUCAGCAUAGAAUCUCGCGACGAAGCGGAGGAGGGCUCCUCCCUUCCUCAUUCCCCACACGGCAACGGCGCCCAACAGCCCUCCAUCCCACCACCGGUGUGAGUCUGCAAUUGUGCAUGUGCAUGUAUGUAUGGUACGUGUGUCCUGGGGCAGAACUGUGCUAUCACAGGACUGUAAAGAGGCGUGUUUGUCCUCCCUCCCUCCUCCUCCUUAUCCGUUUUUCUUGUUCGAUAUCGUCAUCGCGUUCGUCUUCCUUGAUCCAUUUAAUAUAUAUAUAUAUAUAUAUAUCUGUGCGUGUGUGUGAUCCGUUGCUGCGUUGAUCUGAAGUUUUUGCUCUCUUGCUCAGGAGGGAAGACAGUUAACACUUUAGCUGCCGCCGUCGCAGCAGCACCAUCUUGCCUGUCACCUCUGUAUUGGGAGAGUGCCGACGUCAUCAUAAAGAUACGCGUUCGACCCGCGGCUUUUUGACCUCAAUGACAACGUUGAGCGUUCUUAACCAGUCCACUACCUCCCCUCCCGCUGCUGCUGCUGCUGCUGCUCGCUUUCGUUGUUCUCGGGUCCGCGCUGAGGAGAUACUAGAUUGGCGUUUCCCGGUGAACGUAUCACUAUCCUGUUUUUUUUUUUCGAUCGCGGAGCUGCUAGCCGCCAUCGCUCUGGUAAGCGAUCUGAUCUAUGGAAGCUGUCAUUGACGACGAGGGCCUCGAGCCAGCGGCGGUGCGGCAGCGCACGGAGAGGGGUGUCUGGUCACCCAGCAAUAACAGCCGACACGACAGCGCUGGCAUCCGCGAUGAGUUGGCUGGCAUUGGCGAACAGAUCAAAACGCUUCAGUUCCAGCUUAGUAGCAACCUCUCUCCCGAAACAAAGGUAUCAGAGGUCGUCACGCAGACUCUGUGGGACUUGUUGUGGCGGCUACGCACGUUUCUCUUCCUCGCCUCCCCGUCUGCGGCGCAUCAGUGGAGGAUCGGCGGGGCACUCUUCAAUGUGUAUUAUCGCCGCCACUACGGCAGGGAUGCGGCCCACGUCGCAAUCGCGCUUCGGCUAUACUUGGUCCUCUUGCGUUUCACUGCUGUCUGCCCAGCCGCCGCGCUCCACGGCUGCCUCACUCUCUUUGGUGUACUGGCAGUGCUAAACGACCCUCGUCUGAGGCCAUGGAAGGACACGUCUGAGAGGCUUCUCGAGGGCUUUCUUUUUGUGUCACGGGCGCUGCACCGCAGUGAGAAUAAUGUCUUGCGCAACUCAUUAACGUCGCAUUCGAGCUGCUCUCGGAGGUCACGGCGCACUUCAACGGCUCGGCAGCGGAGACGGAGAGUGCGCUGUUCCUCCAGCUCUCCGUGGAGCCCGCAGCGGAGCUGUUGUCGCAGACAGAAGGCUCACUGCCGCCUUCCGCUUCGCCGAAAUCGGCAUCGGGCGCGGAAAGCCGAGCGCGGCGGCUUCAGGAGCUGUUCUCCACCUGCACCUGCGUGGAGACCCUGUACGAGGCGCGUUGCAUUCAGGUCUGCCUGUUGCGGCUGGUCGUGCGUCUCAGCGAAGAGCGCCUGCUUCUUUCGCUUUCUCCCGACCGCGUGGUCUUCUCUGUGACGUCGCCUGCCACCUCGUCUCUAGCGCAGUCCCCGGCGCUGAGGGUGGCGUGGUGAACCGCGUGCAGCACGAUGCGGCGUGGCACACUCUUCGCCACUUCGCGGUAGUAGAUCGUCGCCUGCUUCCGCACAUACAGGGUCCUCUCAUCUUGUCCGUCUUGGCGGCUCAGUGGAGCCGUCGAGGGGCACAAACGUGUUCGUCCAUCUUCAACAUAACGGUUGCGGAAAAGGCGCUGUUCGACUGGUGCCGGCGCCUCAGCACGGAGGAGCUUGACUCGCUCGUCGUCGCUGCGUAUCACCGCGGCGGAGUGGGGCCUGAUGGCCAAGACGCGAUGACGGAGUGUCUCGCGCAGAUGUGGGAAGUGGGGGUGCAGUGGUGCGCGGAUUUAUACACCAGCCCUAGUACGGCCGUUGACGGUAUUGUUGCAAACACCGCGUCCUGCUCGGCGAGCAGUGUUUCCGCCAUGGUCACGCUGCAGCAGUGGGUAUGGCUAUGUGAGAGGGUGUUUCGCAGCACGGUGGCGCAGAGGAGUGCGUUCGCAGGGCUAACGCAAAUGGGUGAACCGAAGCUGCUCGCGGCGUACGACCACCAGUUGCAGCUUCUGGUGAGUGAGCUACCUCUCUCGUCGUUGACCGCCUCGCUACUGUGCACGCAGCUGCCGUCGUUUGCGGUGGAAUCGGAGUUGGCUUUUUGCCGAGCCGGAUCCUAUCCUUUUUCAACGGGCAAGCACUGAUUGCGUGUGUCGCGGAAGUAGUGGACCGCGCGAAGAACUGUAUCGAUGUCUCCGCCUACCGUUUGCUAGAGGCUAAUGCACUUGCAGUUCAGUCACGUCUCAAGGUGUCCUCAUCGGUGGUCCAGUGCGACGCCGCAGCCUUUCAGAGUGCUCUGGCGGAGACGCUGCAGGUGAUGCAGCACCACGAUGCGCCGUCCUACAGCCUCCUUGUGCAAGCCAUCAUUGUCCUGGUGCACGCCUUUCCAGUAGACUCGGAGAACGGAGAGGUUCGCAAGUCCGACACUGUGGCGCGCGUCAUGCAGGCGCUCGAUAAUAGUAUCUCCUCUCGACACAACGGGAGUUAUGCAGCUCUGGAGGUCGCUGCGCCGCUGUGGCACAUGCUGGAUCGAGAGACCGCCGCGACCCUUUUUCGUGCAGGUUCAGGGCUUGGAUGGACUCGGCGACUGCUGGCGCUGCCCCCGCAAACCGCGACAUCGGCGACAACAGCCGAGUUGUUUCUGUGCCGAGCUGCUGGACUCGCCGAAGCACUUCAGCACGCGCUGGAGGAGACGAUACUGAGAGAUGGUGCCUCGACAUCUCGCUCCACUUCGCAUUCCCCCGCCCCUAAAGCUCUUCCUGGGCCGUGGCGGCCCGUGGGCAGAUGCCGGGACGCCUGCGGCGUGUGUACGAGUCGAUUGCGAGUCAUUUUCCCGUUGUUGUGCAACUGCUUCAGACUCUGGGCGCUCUUCUCACAACACUCCAGCGCGACGCGCAGUGGUGGCGCUGCAUGCGUAACGGCAAAGGCGGCACGUAUGCUGAGGCUAGCGGGGCCAUAGUGGCUUUAGGAAAUUUCUUUCGCCACGCCACUAGCAUCCUCGUGCUGCUGCUGGACGCCAAGUACCGGUUCGCUGUCAUCGCUGGUUCUGAGGCUGGCAAGGGGUGCAACGGCGCCUUGGCUGGUGCAGCACCGAUCUGUGAGCGGAGUAGCACUACGAAAGAGCCUCUGGCACAGGCGGCGACGGUCGUGGAUGUGGACGACGACGAUAACGCGGACGGCGUCUUCGAGGAAACGAGGAAGCAAAGAAGCCGCAUCGACACCGAAAGGCAACAGCGAGCGGCGCCACGCUCAGCUCGAAGACAGGAAAGGCUUCAGCUAAAGCAGCUGUGGGCGGUGCACCGCAGGCCUCUAACUUAUCCCAGCAGUCGAUCGCGAAAACGAAGCAACUGGAGAAGAUUGUGCAGCUGAACAGGUCGAAGCUCUUGCCCGCUCUGCUCGCCUUCACCCGGCGCUUCGUGUAUGAAGGAAAGGGCAGAGGUGCAUCACCUGACGCAGACGAGGUGCAAAACGAGGAUGGCCGUUCUAGUCAGCGAGCGGCGGGGAGCGUGCGCAACCACGCAAGUGCCCUCGAGUGCGCGCUGCUUUCUCUGGCUUACACUUCCCUUGCGCUGUCCCCUCCUUUUUCGCUGAACGACGUGAACGAACUCUUCAGCCUCGCCUCUGUGGGCGCGUACAAUGUGAAGGACAGUAUCCUCUACUGCGCACUGCGCGAACUGGUGCUGUGGAGUCCACAAUUGGCGUGCCGGGAGUGCGAAGCGGGCGAUUCUGCGAUGCCGACGCUGCUGCUAGUGCGACUCUCUGGGACUGAGCAGCUGCUGUCAACGGUACUUUCAGCGAGGCGAGAUGGCAACACUACAUACAUCGCCGAAUGCGGCGCGCAGAUCUACAGCUGCUGUGGUUCGGCCGACGUUUUUUCCAGCGCGCUGGUGAUACACGGGCAGAAGCGGCUGAUAAGCCGGAGAGAGAGCAGCGGCUGUCACUUACAGAUGCGUCCGCAGCGGUGCAGGAGGACUGCAUGGCCGCCUCUGAACGGGUGACACAGGAGGGAUAUGCGUGGCUGUGCCUCUGCUUCGACCUCUACGCGGUGUAUCACAGUGUACGCCCCGCGCACAACGACACCGCUUUGGCUGUCAUGGGCCUGUGCGUUGAGACAGCGCGGGGUGUGAUGGCGGUGUUUUCGUGGUCGGCCACCGAUCUCCUGCGCUUCCGCGAACGGCCAUUUGUGUUUUCGUCCUUUUUCAAGGCUAUCGUGGACAAGGAAGACCGCGACAUGAAGGUCAUCUUGACAUCGUCACUGGAUGUCCUGGGGCGCUAUGUCAUCUCGGCAGGUGUGGACCAAGCUGGUGGUGGAACCGUAGCGGCGACAGCCACGAUGUCCACUGUUGUGCCGGGCGACGGCGUCACACGAGCGAAGCUGAAGCACCUCAUGGACCAAGAAAAGAUUGCUGACUGGAGAGCCGCAGCAGGGGCGCUGGCGUACGCCCUCUACGCGUACGGCGGCAAGCCGGCCGCGAAGCAAAUGCUGUACCUUGCAGAGGCGGCGAGCUACGCCAAGAAGAGUAUCCAGGACGUGCCGUCGAUGGUGCGGUCGACGAUCCACUUUGUUGCGUUUCACAUUGUAUCCCUCGAGGCGGAUGCCCAGAUGCUGGCGUACGACCGUAGGUGUCACAGUGGGCGAGAUCACCGACGCUGCCUGAGCGGGGCAGCAGCUGUGCACGCCCCUCUUGCGGUCGUGGGAGGGUCCGCGCACUCACUCUUCGUCUGCGACCGGUCGGAAGGAGGCGACGGUGCGGAAGCAGUGGGCGUCGAAGACGCAAGCACGUCACCACCAGAGCGCACGACCACCGGCGAGCUGCACGCCGCGGAGGGUGACGGAGGUGACGCGUCGGCCAGCAAGGAGGUACUCGACGGUAUAGCGUUUUCGGUCUUCGAGCGGGCACUGGAGCAGUUGGUGACGCUGGGCGAGGCGGCCGAGACAGCUUCCGCGGUGGAGAACUCGCUGCGAAAGCCGGUGGUGCGUGCAGUGGCGGCGGAGGAGCUACGCAAGAAUAUGUUUGCCGUGCUGGACGCCGUCUACAAGGCCAUCCGCAUCGAACCUGCGGUUGCUUGCCGCAGCGAGGGCGCCGACGCGACCGACAAAGAGGAAGCAAGCGCCGCGCCACCCGUGUCGCUUCGGACGCGGCGUCGAUGGCUGCUUGGCUUGGCAUCCUUUAUUCGUUUUAUGGGUCCGCAGACGACGCCGAUCGCGCUGAUGCUGCCGACGCUACUGGGUCACUGUGCCCGCUUUCCCAGCCUGCUCCCAUCGGUGUGCAUUGUGUGGAGGGAGCUGAUCUGCGCCUGCACAGACGAGUACCUCGCGGAGUCGGCCGCCGCCAUCGUCCUGAGCCUCGUGAGCCUCGAGCAGCAAGCUGCCCUCGAGAGUGAGUCGAAGGGACUCUUGCUCUGUGCCCUACGCCACCUGUACACCCGCACGGAGGCGGCAGAGUUUUGGGACUCGUACAAGGUGGUUCUCGGAACCUUCAGCGAACUGGUGCGUGCCACCCUUCACUCGCGACACUCCGGCUGCGCCGAGGCCGCGGAACGAUCGGAAGAGAGUCGCCGAGACAGCGCGCACGUUCUCCUCCUGGGGUUUGCAUCUGUCAUGCGAUCUGGCUCGCUGCAGUCGAGCACCGUCUUUGUCCGCGCCCUCUACCAGUACCUCUGCGCUGCAGAUGAAGCAACGCGCCGGCAGCUGUCCCACGCGGCCGCCGACCACCCAGAGGUGUUGCAGACACUGCUGCGAUGCACGGAGGCCGACGCUGACAGCGCCCUGUACGCCAUGCGGUGCAUUAGCAUUCUCGGAGCCGUCGCUGCACCGAAUGCGGCAGCGUCGACAGGCGCGCGGUGGGCCACUAAGACUGCCGAUGACGAGCGGCGAAGCUCAUUGGCCCUCUCCUCGGCGUCUGCUCUUGACACGUGGAACCGGAUGACGUGGACGCAGUCCUUCUACCUGGACGCGGAGACGGUUCUGAACUGGCGCAAGUUCUCGUUUACACUGCUGAGGGACUACUUCCCUCGGGUGUUCGCAAGCACAGCAGACCCGGUGCUGCACAAUUGCAUCGCCUUUGCGGUGCAGGAGCUGAUUCGUGCCUCGACUCGGCAAGAGCGUCUUCAGCACAAGGGGGUCGAGCUGCGCCGCGAGGAUAUCGUGCACGUCGACGAGCUGGACCGUUAUAUCUGGUGGAUGCGCCUGACGCCGCAUGUGAAGCAGCUCUGGGCGGGUUCACGACAACGCGGUACUCGCUGACAGUGAACUGGCAGACGCGCCUCCGCUCGCCGGAGUACACGCCGUCGCUUGAGUAUCGGCGCUGGCUCUUUGCCUUCUUCAACCAUCUUGUCAUGUCCUGCGAGGGCUGGUUCGCGGAGAUGGUGCAACCACUACGGAACGUCGCCAAGAAGAAUGCCUCUCUCGUGCUCUACUUACUGCCGUACCUAGUGGUGCAUAUCCUGGAAUCCGGCAAGGUGGAGGACGUCCAGUACAUCGAGCACGAGGUGAAAGCGGUACUCGAGGCCGCCGCCGGGGGGCCGAACGUCGCUGUCUUGUCACUCCGGUCGCAGAGCAUCUACGAGGCGAGUCCUGAGACCCUGUCACAGGAGGAGCCGCGCGAGCACGCACACACCGUGCUCAGUCUUCUCGAAGAUGUAGAGCAGCUGCGGUGGACGCUGCUGCGCAAUCGCGGACGCGUCACGUGUGUCUUCGAGCCGCAAGAGCAGACGGAGAGCCUGUGCAUCCGCCUUGCCGAGAUGUAUGGCGACUUCCUGCGCGGUAUCCCGUGGCCGCUACGUUGCCGUGCUGCCCUCCGCAUCGGCAGCCACAUUCGGGCCCUCCGCAGCGUCGAGAGUCAACGCCGCAUUCCUGGGCUGGCGUCCGUCAUAGCAGCGGUGCCGCUGCAGCGCAUUUUCGCGGCGCUAAAAGAUCGCGAAUCUUCCCGCUCCAUUCACCGCGCCUCGCCUGGACUCUCGUUGGAAGACACGGCCUUCUCCUUUGAGAACAACGGCGACUGGCUGUCCGCGCUGGGGAGCUCGGAACUGGUCUUGCAGCAUCGCCCGCACAGCGGGCAGCACCAGCUGACAGCGCUGCACUGCAUGAAUGAACUGGGGGAGCUCUACAUGACCUCGCGCUACGCAGCCUCCCUGCUAGCUUCCGCGUCGGUAUCCGACAGUGACGUGCGAGGGCUCGAGGCGAAGGAGUACUUGUCAGGUGCCGCGCUCAAAGGCAGGUCGACUUUUUCACAGAUGGUGAGUGAUGCACCAGGAGGAGCAGCAGCGGUCAGCGACUUUGCGCAGCUGCGCCACCACGUGCAGGCGUACGCGAACGAGGCGGCAUGGCGACUCGGCCAGUGGGACACGCUGCUGCCGUCCAGCACGGCUGCUAGCGCGGCCACUGCGCCGGUGAACUCGGGGAUGCCUACAGUGGGGUCUGACGGGGGUCGGUCGGUGAGCCUUGCCAUGCCCGCCGCGUAUCUCCAGCGAGCCCUGUCAGGAAACGGCUCUCUUGCCUUUGUACGGUGCGUAACCGACAAGGAGCGUGCCAAAGUGGUGCCUCUGGUUCGAACUCCGUGCCAGGAAGACCUGACGGCGCAGGGCUACACUGUCACGCUGCUCUUGCAUGCACUCGGCGAUGUGGAUGCCGUGUCGGAGCUGUGCGCCAGAGCCUUCAUCACAAACGGCAGCGGUCACCACUGCUGCGGGGACGGCUCCGACGCGUCCCAGUCGAGUGCGCCAAUGAUGAAACUGGCUGCACCGCUUCUGCCGUCAUCGGUGAAGGAAGAAAUUGCGAGCCUCUUGUCACGACGGGAGUCCUACGUAGAGGACACCAUCGCAGCCCGCGAGCCGCUACUUGCGCUUCAUCGCCUCAUCUACCGCGAGCUAGACAUGCCGCAGAAGGUGGCGGAGACGUGGCUGAAGCAGUCCGAGCUGCUGCGCAACGGCGGUCUCGGCGAGGCAGCCCUGACAGCGGCCCGCCAAGCGGCUUUCGAGUGCCGGGAGCACGUGACGGCGACCAGCUACUACGUCUUGGUGGCGAACCUGUUGCACGAUACCCAGUCGCCGACACCAGCGAUGGAGUUCGCACGCGAGUGCGUGGCUGAUGCACGUAUCCCCGCCACCACCCGCGCACAGCUGCAGAUAUUGCUCACGAACUGGCUGAUUGAGACGGGUUCGGAGCGGCCGGAGCAUAUCUUUGCCGAGUACGAGAAGGCGCGCGAGCUGGACCGCAAGUCGGAGCUGGUUCAUCACCAAAUGGCGCUCUUCUACGAUCAUCUGCAUACCCUCGCCAGCAACGCAAGCGAGGGCGCAGCAGCCCAGCUAACAGCGGCGGCCACGUCACCGACAUCGAGCAGCACCGCGAAUGUGUCGGCGGCGGUCAUGUAUAACGCGGCACUGCAGCACCAGAAGGAGAUGGUGGACUCUAUCCAAAGGUGUGCGACACGCGCCAUCGUCCACUUCGGCGAGGCUCUACUGCGCGGGUCGAGAAAGCGUCGGUAUCGCUGCCGCGCAUGCUCACCUUGUGGCUCGACAGCGCCGUGUUUCUUGGCGGCCUGAUGGGCACGACUGUUGGCAAGCUGGACGGCACUACCUCGGCGGUCCUGGGGGAGAUGAACAAUCGAAUUCGGGAGUUCGUGCUGAGCACGGUGCGGCCGGUCAUCCCUCCAGCUGUCGUGAUGACGGCACUGCCGCAGCUUCUUUCCCGCCUCGGUCAUCCCGUGACAGCGGUGCGCAACGUCUUGACGGACAUCGUGCUGCACCUUAUGGAUCACUUUCCGCAGCAGUGCCUCUGGCUGGUGCUCCCGAUGGCGCUGAGCAAGGAGGGGCCCAAAGAAGUGGUGGAGACGCAGAUCAUCAAAUCUUUCGCCGACAACCCUCGCAACGAGCGGGUGUUGCGGCACGCAAAAAUCCUCUGCGACACUCUGUUGACCAUCUGCAACUGCUCUGCCAGCCUCUUUCCGAAAGAGAAGGGGCUCACGCAGCUCAGCCCCGUACAGAAGAUCACCCCAAUGCUGGCCACGGCCAAGUUUAUCGUGCCCGUGCUGUCGAACUUGACCCCGGACAUUCGCGCGAGCUCCAGCGAAGACGUAUUUCCCACGGCGCCGUGCUUUGACCACUUCGACGAUCGCGUGGUCGUCAUGCGGUCGCUGCAGAAGCCGAAGCGGAUUUGGGUGCACACAAACGACGGCCGCGAGAUGUCGUUCCUGUGCAAGGCGAAGGAUGAGCCUCGCAAGGACAUCCGUAUGAUGGAGGUGGCGGCGCUCAUGAACUCCUUCUUCCUCUCCGACCCGGAGGCGAAGCGGAAGCGCUUCUCGCUACGCCGCUACGCCAUCACCGCUCUCAGCGACGACUGCGCCGUGAUUGAGUGGCUCAACGAUACAACACCGCUGGCCAAGGUGGCGAUGGAGUGCUACGCAUUGGACCGCUCCGGCGUGCACAUCUCCUCCGUCAAGAAGUGGAUGGCCCUGGUGGAUGAGAAGAAGAUGAGCAAGAUGGAGCUUUUUACCAAGUACAUCUUGCCCGAGGCGCCUCCCGUAAUGCAUCAGUGGCUGGACCGGACGUUUGCGAGCAACCAGAGCUGGUACGAGGCGCGCACGCUUUUCACGCAGUCCACAGCACUCUGGAGCAUCGCUGGCCACAUUGUGGGACUCGGUGACCGACACGCAGAGAACUUGAUGAUUGACAUGGAGCGCGGCGAGCUGAUGCACGUAGACUUUGCGUGCAUGUUCGACAAGGGCGAGAAGCUGGAGGUGCCGGAGCAGGUGCGCUUCCGACUCACGCAGAACCUGACGGACGUGAUGGGUGUGCUCGGUGCCUACGGUCCUUUCCAGGCCACGUGCGAGGUGGCACUGAGGUGUGAGAUGAAGAACAAAAGUGCCGUCAUGUCCAUCAUUGAGACGCUUCUCCACGAGCCACUGAUGGAGUGGCGGCGGCAGAGCAGUCGCUCACACUCGUCGAACGGUCCGAAGCAGCUCAUGGAGCGUGUAGCACGUCGGCUUGAUGGGUUUCUCGACCUGUACUCGGUCCCCGCUCAGCGUGAUACGCUGUCGCUGAAUGUGGAGAGCCAGGUGGCGAAGCUUAUUCACCACUCCUCCGACCUGAACAACCUCUCGCAGAUGUAUAUUUGGUGGAUGGCGUGGAUUUGAGGGCCGCACAGAGACGUGCCGUGCUGGAGGGGCGCGUAGUCGAGCGGGACCGGUGUCUUAUGCGGGUACUAGAAACGGCGAAGAGCGGCACCCACAUCCGUGCAGUGCCAUUAUCCGUUUAGACAAACGAUAACAGGGCAACGAGGAGCGAAGUAUGAGAUUCCCUCGGCUUGCCACCACGUUCAUGAUCCGAAAGCGCGCACAGAAAAUGUGAAGCACAACAAAAGGAAGCAGUGCAGCGCAGCGCAGCGCGCGACAAACAAACAAACAAAAAAACAUAAAGACGAGGGAAAAUGGCUACACCCAACCGCGAAGGUGCCGACUAGUGGUAACGCUGGAGCCCUUCGUUGUGGAGGUUUUGCUUUCGUGUAGCAGAUACCGUUCCAUCUCCUGUUUUUUUUUUUUGCGCACACGCUCCCCUACCCGCGCACGUGGAUGGGGCGAGCGUCCGAGUGCUCAGCUGCUGAUUAGUGGCUCACUCGCGGGUGUGCUGUCUCAUGACCGGUACAAGAAGUCUUUAUUUCUUAUGCCUGCCGACGCUCUCUCUUUUUUUUUGCGGUUGUUGUGGCGAAG
rnacentral:misc_RNA from 1 species